rnacentral:lncRNA from 1 species
UUUUUAUUUUUAUUUUUGCUAUUUACCUAAAAAGAAAAAGAGACAAUGCUUCAGUCAACUGCUUUUUUAUUUAAAAUUUAAAGAAAAAAAAAAGAAAAAAAAAGCUGUAACCUUAUCAUUUCUGAGUAGACCAUUAAGAGAAAUGCACACCUGUCAGCCCAGGACCAGCUUUGGUGGCUAAAGGGAAUAUUUUAACUCGCAAGGUGAUGUUCUGUACAAAACGUGGUAUAUGUUACCCACAGUCCAUUUCAGUUAUUCCCACAAGUCAGGUCCAGAUAAAUGAGGGUUAUCAGCUAACUGAUAUGUUAUCAUUGAGGUUCGUCAAUGAAUUUGUACAUUUCUAGUUCCCUUUGGUGAAGGGAAAAAUGAUUUUGCAAGACCUAGAUUUUGGCUUGGUUUCUUGCCUCCUUUUUUGGCAGCCUUCAUCUUUUCCUAAAGCCCUUGAGCCUGUAGGGUUUUCAUAGUGGACAAAGGACUUAAAUGGUCUUUUAAAACUGGGAUAGUUUUUGGGGAAAGGGCAAAAGAUUAUCAUAUUGAACAUGUAGUAUCCCAAUACUCUCAACAGUGGAUAAUUAUGAGUAAACCCGGUCCUUUCGAUGUUUAGAGUAAGCAGAGGCCCACAGUGGAGGCUUACCAAAGGUUGCAAUGAGGAAGAGGCCUCUCCCUCACUGUCAGCACCAGCUGGUAAAGGUGACUGUGCAGAUGUGCAUUUUCCUUUUGGUAGAAAUGGUCCACAGCACUAACUGGUAAGGCUUAUUGUACAGUAUAUUGUCAGUAUUCUUCUGGUUCAGCAUACCUUAUAGUUCGUAUAUAACCUGUAUUAAUUGUAUAGAUUGUGCAUUUAAAGCUGUUACCAAGUUGUCAGAACCCUAAGAAUGAAAACAGGUCAUAUGUAAUAUUUUGUUUGUAAGUAUCCUUUGUAUCAUAGCAAAGGAAAUGUUUAAAAGAUCAACUGUAAUAAAAGUAAUUUUAGU